rnacentral:rRNA from 1 species
GUAGGUGGCAGAGUAAGUAGGGAGUGAAAGCGUUCGGCUCAACCGAAUAAACAUUUCUUAAACUGCUCAGCUAGAGAACGAGAGAGGUAGAUGGAAUUCCCAGUGUAGGAGUGAAAUCCGUAGAUAUUGGGAGGAACACCGAUGGCGUAGGCAGUCUACUGGCUCGUUUCUGACACUAAGGCACGAAAGCGUGGGUAGCAAACAGGAUUAGAUACCCUGGUAGUCCACGCCGUAAACUAUGGAUGCUAGCUGUUAGAAGUAUCGACCCUUCUAGUAGCGAGGCUAACGCGUUAAGCAUCCCGCCUGUGGAGUACGGUCGCAAGACUAAAACAUAAAGGAAUUGACGGGGACCCGCACAAGCGGUGGAGCGUGUUGUUUAAUUCGAUGAUAAGCGAAGAACCUUACCCAGGCUUGACAUCCUUGGAAGCACUGCGAAGGCAGAGUGUGCCUUCGGGGACCAAGUGACAGGUGAUGCAUGGCCGUCGUCAGCUCGUGUCGUGAGAUGUUUGGUUAAGUCCAUCAACGAGCGCAACCCCUGUGGCUAGUUGUAUUUUUCUAGUCAGACUGCCCUGGUAACAGGGAGGAAGGAGGGGAUGAUGUCAGGUCAGUAUUUCCCUUACGUCUGGGGCUACAAACACGCUACAAUGGCCGGUACAAAGGGCUGCCAAGUCGCAAGACGGAGCAAAUCCCAUCAAAGCCGGUCUCAGUUCGGAUUGGAGGCUGAAACUCGCCUCCAUGAAGUCGGAAUCGCUAGUAACGGUGGGUCAGCACACUACCGUGAAUACGUUCCCGGGUCUUGUACACACCGCCCGUCAAACCAUGAAAGUCGCCAAUACCUGACGUCCUAGCUUGUCUAGGCCUAAGGUAGGGGAGAUGAUUGGGGUU